GUGGGGAAUAUUGGACAAUGGGCGAAAGCCUGAUCCAGCCAUGCCGCGUGUGUGAAGAAGGUCUUCGGAUUGUAAAGCACUUUAAGUUGGGAGGAAGGGCAGUAAGUUAAUACCUUGCUGUUUUGACGUUACCGACAGAAUAAGCACCGGCUAACUUCGUGCCAGCAGCCGCGGUAAUACGAAGGGUGCAAGCGUUAAUCGGAAUUACUGGGCGUAAAGCGCGCGUAGGUGGUUUUGUAAGUUGGAGGUGAAAUCACCGGGCUCAACCUGGGAACUGCCUCCAAAACUGCAUGACUAGAGUACGGUAGAGGGUAGUGGAAUUUCCUGUGUAGCGGUGAAAUGCGUAGAUAUAGGAAGGAACACCAGUGGCGAAGGCGACUACCUGGACUGAUACGGACACUGAGGUGCGAAAGCGUGGGGAGCAAACAGGAUUAGAAACCCCAGUAGUCC
rnacentral:rRNA from 1 species